AGGGAACUCGAAGUCUCGAACGCACUCGUUCAACCACAAAAAUGCCCAGACACUCGACAGAAGCAAUAUGUCAGACAAAGCCCAAGUACAAAGCAGAGCUGGAGACUAGAAGGAGAAGUCGAGACUCGAGAGAGACGGAGACAAGGUCACAAGCAUUCGGGAAAAUUGGGAUUUCAAUUUGGGAAUUUUGGGCAUACAAUGGAUUAUGGAUAUAUAAUGGGUUUGGGCUGCCAUUGUUCAGCUAAAAAAAAAAGAAAGAAAGAAAGAAAAUUUGGACAAAAAAGGGUAGAUGCUGCAAAGAUCAACUUCAACACGGAAAAGAAGAUAAAAAUAAGUAUACAAAUUUCAGUCAAGUGAGAUCAUAUAUACACUGAUCAUUUAUAGAGCCGCCAUUCUUCCAAGCUAAUUGAGAAAAUAAUUACUGAGGCUGAUCCACAGUUUAUAGUUAAGAGGAGCAACAAAAAGUAAAUAUUUGUUGCAAAAUUUUUAGGGGGACCAAAAUAAAUUUUUUCUAGAGAAGACUAAAAAUUUGUUCUUCAAGUCUUUUUAAGGGAACAUUCCCAUCCUUCCUCUCACCGUCACCUCUAACUCCAUAGAUUCAAAAGGCAAAUCAUUAAGAAGGCGUAAUGCAUAAUGAAACAAAUCAAAACCCAGAAAGUAUACCCACCUAACAUAAACUAAACA
rnacentral:lncRNA from 1 species